rnacentral:lncRNA from 1 species
AUGGGAAAGACUAGAGAUCUCUUCAAGAAAAUUAGAGACAUCAAGGGAACAUUUCAGGCAAAGAUGGGCUCGAUAAAGGACAGAAAUGAUAUGGACCUAACAGAAGCAGAAGAUAUUAAGAACAGGUGGCAAGAAUACACAGAAGAACUGUACAAAAAAGACCUUCACGACCCAGAUAAUCAUGAUGAUGUGAUCACUCAUCUAGAGCCAGGCAUCCUGGAAUGUGAAGUCAAGUGGGCCUUAGAAAGCAUCACUAUGAACAAAGCUAGUGGAGGUGAUGGAAUUCCAGUUGAGCUAUUUCAAAUCCUGAAAGAUGAUGCUGUGAAAGUGCUGCACUCAAUAGGCCAGCAAAUUUGGAAAACUCAGCAGUGGCCACAGGACUCGAAAAGGUCAGUUUUCAUUCCAAUUCCAAAGAAAGGCAAUGCCAAAGAAUGCUCAAACGACCACACAAUUGCACUCAUCUCACAUGCCAGAAAAGUAAUGCUCAAAAUUCUCCAAGCCAGGCUUCAGCAAUACGUGAACCGUGAACUCCCUGAUGUUCAAGCUGGUUUUAGAAAAGGCAGAGGAACCAGAGAUCAAAUUGCCAACAUCCGCUGGAUCAUGGAAAAAGCAAGAGAGUUCCAGAAAAACAUCUCUUUCUGCUUUAUUGACUAUGCCAAAGCCUUUGACUGUGAGGAUCACAAUAAACUGUGGAAAAUUCUGAAAGAGAUGGGAAUACCAGACCACCUGACCUGCCUCUUAAGAAAUCUGUAUGCAGGUCAGGAAGCAACAGUUAGAACUGGACAUGGAACAACAGACUGGUUCCAAAUAGGAAAAGGAGUACUUCAAGGCUAUAUAUCGUCACCCUGCUUAUUUAACUUAUAUGCAGAGUACAUCAUGAGAAACGCUGGACUGGAAGAAACACAAGCUGGAAUCAAGAUUGCUGGGAGAAAUAUCAAUAACCUCAGAUAUGCAGAUGACACCACCCUUCUGGCAGAAAGUGAAGAGCUAAAAAAGCUCUUGAUGAAAGCGAAAGAGGAGAGUGAAAAAGUUGGCUUAAAGCUCAACAUUCAGAAAACGAAGAUCAUGGCAUCUGGUCCCAUCACUUCAUGGGAAAUAGAUGGGGAAACAGUGGAAACAGUGUCAGAGUUUAUUUUUCUGGACUCCAAAAUCACUGUAGAUGGUGAUCGCAGCCAUGAAAUUAAAAGAUGCUUACUCCUUGGAAGAAAAGUUAUGACCAACCUAGAUAGUAUAUUCAAAAGCAGAGACAUUACUUUGCUGACUAAGGUCCGUCUAGUCAAGGCUAUGGUUUUUCCUGUGGUCAUGUAUGGAUAUGAGAGUUGGACUGUGAAGAAGGCUGAGUGCCGAAGAAUUGAUGCUUUUGAACUGUGGUGUUGGAGAAGACUCUUGAGAGUCCCUUGGACUGCAAGGAGAUCCAACCAGUCCAUUCUGAAGGAGAUCAACCCUGGGAUGUCUUUGGAAGGAAUGAUGCUAAAGCUGAAGCUCCAGUACUUUGGCCACCUCAUGUGA